CAUUGGGUGUGAUAAUUAUCUACGCCAUUUCUGAUGUGAAGCAGUUUAUAUAAAGUUCAGCUUUCUAACCGUCCAUUGACUUGGACAAUCAUAAUUGACUAUUUGACCUCAAAUCAGGUAGGACUACCCGCUGAACUUAAGCAUAUCAAUAAGCGGAGGAAAAGAAACUAACAAGGAUUCCCCUAGUAACUGCGAGUGAAGCGGGAAAAGCUCAAAUUUAAAAUCUGGUGGUUCUUGUGAUCAUCCGAGUUGUAAUCUAGAGAAGUGUUAUCCGCGCUGGACCGUGUAAAAGUUUUCCCUAGA
rnacentral:rRNA from 1 species